rnacentral:rRNA from 1 species
AUGGGCAAGUCAGGGAGCAUUUUAUGUGGUGUGAGGAAAGAUACUUUUGAUAUUGUUUCCUGUAUUAAGGGCAGAUAUGUUCUGCAACUAGUGCUAUAUGACAAAAAGAAGAAAAUUCAGUGGGGUCUGCUGGUAGUUUAUGGAUCGGCACAUGAUGAAUUCAAAAAUGAAUUUCUAGUUGAGCUAGCAUCCUUUUGUAGUGGCAUGGUUGUACCCUACAUUAUGGGGGGAGACUUUAAUAUCCUGAGACAUUCGGGGGAAAAGAAUAAGAAGAUGGUGAACAAUAAAGCCACUGACUUGUUCAACUCCAUUAUCAAUACGCUAGCUCUUAGGGAAAUUCAUAUUAAUGGGGGGAAGUAUACCUGGACUAACAACCAGACCCAUCCCACGCUAGAAAAGCUUGACCGCAUCCUUAUGUCUGAAUGUUGGGAAGAUAUUUUCCCACUGGUCUCUGUGAGGAAAUUAGUCCGGGAGAUUUCUGAUCGUAACCCGCUUCUUCUGUCCUCCGGGGAAGAGGGGCGUGAAGUCCCGAAACCCCGCAAAUUUCGCUUUAAUCUGUCCUGGAUCAAUGAUGACAAGUUCCUACCCACUGUGAGGAAAAUUUGGGCUAGGAACGUGGCCUCAUCAGAUCCUAUUGAUGUCCUGAAUAUCAAGCUGAAAAGAUUUCAAAACAUAUUUUGA